AACAAAAGUUUAAAUUAAAAACAUGUAAACCUAGCUUUAAGCGAAAAAACGACAAAACAUUUCCCACGGUGCAAACGAUGAUAAUAAUGACUGUCAGUUUGAGCCACUCGCAACGCGACAACACCAUCAUCUAUUCUCUGCCAUCCACGGUUCUCACGCAUACAUGAAAACACGGUGCAAAAGGCUGCUGUAAAGCGGCAAUCCAUACGUUCCGCUAGUCCGUGCCAGUAUAAAGUGUCCGGAGUGCAAAUUUUAUGACACGUGCGGAUUAAAAACUCAAACUUCUCCGAAAAAAAGCAACCCGACGCAUAUUCCGGUGCCGAAAAGUGCUAGGCACGACAGAACCAGCCUGGUGAAAGAAUAUCCUCCGUGGUGUCCGACGAUAUUGCGCGAGACCGGAACGCAUUGAUAUCCCUCCGUGGUCCAGUCGGGUCCGAUUAUCACGAAACGAACCGAAAAUUAGAAAACGGAACAGUUCCGAGUGGAAAUCGGUAGCACAAUUUCCGAGCGGGGGUGUUUCGUCCAAAGGAAAGAGGAUAAGCGGUGCCAGAAAACAAACCGUCCCGUUGAAGAGGUCGUCCGAGCGAUUAGAACGACGUUUGCGAAGGAGGUCUUCCCUGGAAGUAAGCAAAUCCUAAGAAGAUGUAAAUCCGUGGUACUGACCAUGUCUGUCCAUAGGGCCUCUUUUUUCUGGGCUCGUUUCUUUCGAAGGCACUGACGGAGGAAGUUGUCGACUUUAGGCAUUGGUACCAGAACGGACCACAAGCAGCGGAACGCGGGAAAGCCACAUCAUUGAGGACGGGGAGGCACAAGGCGGUGUGGCCAGAGGCCAGAGGACUGUUUCGCAUGAGGCGCACUUGUCAGCCAGAGGCCCGGCGGUCUGGAACGAUCGACGUGAGGGGUGCUCAAUCUGGCGAAAGUGACGACGGCAGAGGCAAGGAGUGCGGAGAAAGGUGUUCGGAUACUUCGAGGCGGAAGCAGAUCCCUCGGAGAGACCCCAUCCAGGAACGGUCGCACUGGACGGCCAGAGGGGUCUCCAGCAGAGGGAAAGCGCUGGUGCGAAGAUCGGAAGCAGUUUGUUCGAAGCCCGACGGUAUGGAGACCGUGGUGCGGGAAGUAUUAGGGGGACGCCCCGAAAAUUACUGUAAGUAAGAAAAAAUGUUAGCUCGUAAGAGAUGAAAGGAAAGGGAAAGUAGGAGGUAGGAAGGAGAAAUUCGAAGAAGGGGAAAUACCCCAAAUACAUGUAUUAAAUUGAAA